AGGCAAGAUGUUGGCAUAGCUGU
rnacentral:miRNA from 19 species